rnacentral:rRNA from 1 species
AUUGAACGCUGGCGGCAUGCCUUACACAUGCAAGUCGAACGGUAACAGGUCUUCGGAUGCUGACGAGUGGCGAACGGGUGAGUAAUACAUCGGAACGUGCCCGAUCGUGGGGGAUAACGGAGCGAAAGCUUUGCUAAUACCGCAUACGAUCUACGGAUGAAAGCAGGGGACCGCAAGGCCUUGCGCGGACGGAGCGGCCGAUGGCAGAUUAGGUAGUUGGUGGGGUAAAAGCUUACCAAGCCGACGAUCUGUAGCUGGUCUGAGAGGACGACCAGCCACACUGGGACUGAGACACGGCCCAGACUCCUACGGGGGGCAGCAGUGGGGAAUUUUGGACAAUGGGCGAAAGCCUGAUCCAGCCAUGCCGCGUGCAGGAUGAAGGCCUUCGGGUUGUAAACUGCUUUUGUACGGAACGAAAAGACUCUUUCUAAUAAAGAGGGUCCAUGACGGUACCGUAAGAAUAAGCACCGGCUAACUACGUG